AAAUAAUUUUUUAUUUAACUUUUUAGUUUAAAAUUAAUUAUAUUAAAUAAAAUAAAUUUUAUUAUUAAAAAAGAAAAAAUUUUAUUUAUUAUAGUGAAUAGUAUUGUAAAAGAAAAUUAAAUUUAUUUAUAAGAAAAAUUUAUUUUUUGUACCUUGUGAAUCAGGGUUUAUUAAAUUAAAAUUAUUUAUUUAAAAUUCUCGAAUUUAAAAGAGUUAAAUUAUUAAAAUUUUUAUUGUAAAAUAAAUAUUUUAAAUAUUAAUUUAGUAAUUAAAUGUUAUUCGUUUUUAAAUAUAUCUAGUUUUUUAAGAAAAUAAUUAAAUUAUUUUAUUAUAAAUAUAAUUAUUAUUUUGUAUUUUUAUAUUAAUAAUAGAAAAUAUUUUUAGGGAUUAGCUUAAAAAUAUAUUUUUAAUAAAUUAUAAAUUAUUAUUUAAAAUUAGGAUUAAAAAUUUUUAUAUUUUAAAGUAUGUUAUUAUUUAUUAAUUUUUAUAUAAUUUUUAUUUUUUAUAAAUAAAAUAUUAAAAUAUUAAUUUUAAUAUUUAAAAUUAAGAAAUAAUGAUAAAAUUAGUAUAAAUUAAGUUAUACAAAUAUUAUUUAAUAGAAAGGUUAAAUUUAAGAAUUCGGCAAAAAUUAUUUUUCACCUGUUUAUUAAAAACAUGUCUUUUUGUAUUAAAUUUAAAGUCUGACCUGCCCACUGAGAUUUAAAUGGCCGCGAUAUUUUGAUCGUGCUAAGGUAGCAUAAUCAUUAGUUUUUUAAUUGAAAGCUAGAAUGAAGGGUUGGAUGAAAAAAUAGCUUUUUUAUUUUAAUUUUAUUAAAAUUUUAUUUUUAAGUUAAAAAGCUUAAAUAUUUUUAAAAGACGAGAAGACCCUAUAGAGUUUAAUAAUUAUAUAAUAAUAUUUUUUUAGUAUUAAUAUUUUAAUUUUAAAUAAUUAUUUAAUUGGGGUGAUUAAAAAAUUUAAUUAACUUUUUUUUAUUUUUAUAUAAAUUUAUAAGUAUAUGAUCCAUUUAUAAUGAUUAUAAGAAAAAAUUACCUUAGGGAUAACAGCGUAAUUUUAUUGAAAAGUUCAAAUUGAUAAUAAAGAUUGCGACCUCGAUGUUGGAUUAAAAUUUAUAUUUGGUGUAGAAGCUAAAUUAUUAAGUCUGUUCGACUUUUAAAAUUUUACAUGAUCUGAGUUUAAACCGGUGUAAGCCAGGUUGGUUUCUAUCUUUAAUUAGUUAAUAUAUUUUAGUACGAAAGGACCAAGUAUAUAAAUUUUAUUUUAUAUUUUGAUAAAUAUU
rnacentral:rRNA from 1 species